rnacentral:rRNA from 1 species
UACGUAGGGUGCAAGCGUUAUCCGGAAUUAUUGGGCGUAAAGAGCUCGUAGGCGGUUUGUCGCGUCUGCUGUGAAAACUGGAGGCUCAACCUCCAGCCUGCAGUGGGUACGGGCAGACUAGAGUGUGGUAGGGGAGACUGGAAUUCCUGGUGUAGCGGUGAAAUGCGCAGAUAUCAGGAGGAAUACCAGUGGCGAAAGCGGCACCCUAGCAUUUUUCUGACCGCUCGAUGAUGCGAAAGCGUGGGGAGCGAACGGG